rfam:Cephalotus follicularis DNA, scaffold: scaffold6168, isolate: St1.
AUGGCAUGAUGGGGAAAUUUUUGAAUGAGUUCCUUUAAUCUUUCCCAUGACUCAUGGAACUGCUCACUAUCUUGUUGUGAAAAGCUAGUCAGAGCUCGUCUUAUUUGGUUGU